AUUGAACGCUGGCGGCAGGCCUAACACAUGCAAGUCGAGCGGUAGAGAGGUGCUUGCAUCUCUUGAGAGCGGCGGACGGGUGAGUAAUGCCUAGGAAUCUGCCUAGUGGUGGGGGAUAACGCUCGGAAACGGACGCUAAUACCGCAUACGAUCUACGGAUGAAAGCGGGGGAUCGCAAGACCUCGCGCGAUUGGAGCGGCCGAUAUCAGAUUAGGUAGUUGGUGAGGUAAAGGCUCACCAAGCCGACGAUCUGUAGCUGGUCUGAGAGGACGACCAGCCACACUGGGACUGAGACACGGCCCAGACUCCUACGGGAGGCAGCAGUGGGGAAUUUUGGACAAUGGGCGCAAGCCUGAUCCAGCAAUGCCGCGUGCAGGAUGAAGGCCUUCGGGUUGUAAACUGCUUUUGUACGGAACGAAACGGUGAGCUCUAAUACAGUUUGCUAAUGACGGUACCGUAAGAAUAAGCACCGGCUAACUACGUG
rnacentral:rRNA from 1 species